CAGGGACCAGCGUCACGCAGGACUCAUGCCGGCCCAGGACAGGCACGGGCUGGUCCCGUCCCCGUGGUGCUCGGCCCCCACCCCCCACACGGCCCUUCCCUCCCUCAGACCCCUGUCACGUUCGUGACGUGCCACGGCCUCCCCUGCACAUCGGCUGUGGCUCCAAAGCCCACACCGAGUGGAGCUCUCGCUCCCUCCUUCGUGCCUUCCUGUCGCCCUCAGGCUGAAGACGAAGCCGCUCCAGUGGCUUCUCGUCAACGUCUGUUCCUCCCGACUUUUCCAGGCUCGUUUCCCACCCUGUGAACACGUCAGGCAGGCCGAGGGGCGCUCUUUCUCACUAACCUUCGUGCGUCGCGUCGGUUUCCCCGGGCCGACGGCUGUUCCUUUCUCGUCCUCGCACACCGUCUGCUCCUUCCUUCACCUGUCAGUUGAAUCAUCACCUCCUCAGAGACGUCUUUUCGGACCCCUUCGAUUGGGUCACAUCUCCACGCUCGUGCUCCACGCAGCUGGAAGUGGUGUUUCCUCAGGACGGACGAUGCUCGCCAGCAGGCUGUCCACACUGGAAGUGAGUGUGUGCGUCCUGCGCUCCAUCGGGAUAGAACUGGGUCUGGUUUUGCAGAUCCUGCCUGCACUCAGUGCUCAAAAAAGUUGUUGCCAAGUGAACCUAUAAAUGAGUGAAGGGUCACCGGUGACCUGGAAGGUGGUGACUUUCCACUGAAGCUCUUGCUCCACGGCCACCGCCUUUGCCCUUGGCUGAAGCAAACAAGGCGCCGGCGUCCUUUGCUCGGGGAGGAAGGACCUGUUGGAAUGAUUCGGAAUUUCGGAGGGAGCUGCGUGUGUCGGGGCUGUUAUUUCAGAUUUCUGCUUCUGCUGAAAGCUGUAAGGUCUCACUCCAUCCAUGAUCUCAUUAGGGAGGGAGCGUUUUGGAUUUAAACACGUUUGGCUGUUGAAGAACCGUGGUUGCGACAUGGGGUGACUUCAUGCUCUUCUGUUUUCCCCUGAGAAGAAACACAGUUCUCCUCUCGUGGGGACGGCCUGGCAGAGAUUCCCUGAAGGGACAGGAGAACAGUGCUUCCGAGAAACCUCGUGAAAUGAACCACCCCAGGGACUUGCAGAAGUUCCCAUGCGGGAGAAGCGGGGACCAGCGGCCGUCAGAACAAGGUAUCUGGACCUUCAAAGUGAAGAACUCGGCAGCAAUGGAGAGGACCGACGCUGGAAAGCCGAAGCUGGGCGAAGGUAGAGCUCGGGGUUUUCACAGUGGGGCCCCCGCUGCGGGCUUGCUCCCCCCGGCUUUAGCUUCACCUGCACCAGGUCCAGGUGAUGGAUGCCUGAAGCCGCAGGUCCUUGGAGUUUUGCGUUUGCUCUGGGGAGGCAGGGAGGAACAGCCCUGUCCCCUGG
rnacentral:lncRNA from 1 species